rnacentral:rRNA from 1 species
GACGAACGCUGGCGGCGUGCCUAAUACAUGCAAGUCGAACGCAGUGGGGACGGGCGAGUAACACGUGGGUAACCUCCCAUCAGAGGGGAUAAAACUUGGAAACAGGUGCUAAACUGAUACUGAUGGCUGGACCCGCGGUGCAUUAGCUAGUUGGUGAGGUAACGGCUCACCAAGGCCACGAUGCAUAGCCGACCUGAGAGGUUGGUCGGCCGCACUGGAGCUGAGACACGGCCCAGACUCCUAGGAGGGGCAGCAGUAGGGAAGCUUCGGCAGUGGACAAAAGUCUGACCGAUAAACGCCGCGUGAGUGAAGAAGCUUUUCGGAUCGUAAAACUCUGUUGUUAGAGAAGCGGUAUCUAACCAGAAAACCACGGCUAACUACGUGCCAGCAGCCGCGGUAAUUC